GAGACACUCUUAGGGGCGAUACUUGCUUCAGUGGGGCUUUGGUGAUCACUGAGUCUGCCCCCUGAAUGUGUCCCU
rfam:Myotis lucifugus cont2.58228, whole genome shotgun sequence.